rnacentral:rRNA from 1 species
UACAGAGGUCUCAAGCGUUGUUCGGAUUCAUUGGGCGUAAAGGGUGCGUAGGUGGCGCGCUAAGUCAGGUGUGAAAUCUCGGAGCUUAACUCCGAAACUGCAUUUGAUACUGGCGUGCUUGAGGACUGGAGAGGAGACUGGAAUUCACGGUGUAGCAGUGAAAUGCGUAGAUAUCGUGAGGAAGACCAGUGGCGAAGGCGGGUCUCUGGACAGUUCCUGACGCUGAGGCACGAAGGCCAGGGGAGCAAACGGG